AUGGACAAAUCUUCCUCCUUUUUCCUCCUCAUCAGGAAUUCCAGGUUAGCUCAGUGGCAUUGCAGAAAUCCCAGCUGUCCCCUUUCCUCCCCAAAUCCCCUCAGGAUGGGUUUAGCAGGUGCCAGCCCACCACCAAUCCCAAGGAUUUUCCUCACAACCCUCUCCAGGCCAGCCAGCACCAGCACACAUCUGGAUCCACACCUGGAUUUUCCUUGUCAGCUGCUUGGGAGCUUCCCCUCGUUCCAGGUGAUUCAGGGGUGGCACAGAGAGACUCAGAGCUCCUUCCUCCUCCUCACUUGGGCUCUGGAAGGAGAAUCAGCAUCCCCUGCACCAUCCUCAGCCAUUUCCUGGGGAUCAGCCAUGGGGUCCCAAAGAGGGGAAGGAUGGAGGUGGCAGAGGGGCAGCAGGGCAGGGGGUGCCCAGACCCCCCCACCCCCCAGCCAUGCCCUUCCCCACCUCCCCGAGCCCCUCCCCAUUGCUCCUCACCUCGGGGGGCUCAGGAGAGCAGAGGGGGUUCCAUGGGAAGGGUUUGAUGCUGGAAAGGGAGGGACAAUGAUCAAACACUCCCCAGCCCCAGCUGUGCUGCGGAACCCCUUCAGCAGCCCGGGUCAGGCCGUGACCCAGCCGGGGGCACUGCCAGGGACCCCCUGUGCCCCCAGACCCUGCCGUGAGCGCGGGCACGGCGGGAGGAGCACUCACGGUUCCGGGAAGGAGCGCUGGGACGCGGGAGCUGCGGGAUGUGCCCAGGGCGGGAGCGGUGCCGGGAAGGAAAAACCCCAAGUGACGGUGGGAAAUCGGCGGGAGAGGGGGGAAAGGGAGGAGAACGGGGUACCUGAUGGGAGAGCGCCUGGCCGCGGCUCGGGGCAGCAUCUUCAUCACCCGCGGCACAGGCAGCAUCUUCCUCAGCGUCCCGCGCAGAGCUGGCGACGCCAGGAGGGGCUCCAGCAGCGCCAAAACAGCAUCGAGCGCCCUCCUCAUCCUCACCCUCAUCCUCCUCUGUCCCCCAAACUGGGGAGCCCCUCGCGAGAAAGCCGCGAUGCUCCCGGGCAGCAUCAUCCCAUCAUCCCGGGACCCCCGGCGCCCCCUCCCCACCAACCCCACGGAGCAGCUGGAGGGGCCCGGGGGGUUCGGGUGUCGGACCAGCAUCACCUCCACCCCCCCAGGCAGCGGGACCCGAGAGGGGCUGAGCGGGGAGAGGGCUCGGGGGUACCCAGGGCAGGGGGAGAUCAAGGGGAGGGGGCCCGGGAGCCGCUCGGGCCGUCCCCGGGUCCCGGCCCGGCGGGACAAAAGGGGCGGAAAAGCCGUCGGAAGUGA
rnacentral:lncRNA from 1 species